GGGGGGAGGCCGGAUCCUGGGGCUGUGUCCCAGCGACCUAUGCUCCGGGGCCUGUGCUGUUGGAUUCGCGCUCCCGCCCCCGAGCCCCCC
rnacentral:pre_miRNA from 1 species